GUCCUAGCCGUAAACGAUGGGCACUAGGUAGGGGGGAAACCUAUGGUCUUCCCUGCCGGAGCAAAUGUGUUAAGUGCCCCGCCUGGGGAGUACGCUCGCAAGGGUAAAACUCAAAGGAAUUGACGGGGGCUCACACAAGCGGUGGAGCAUGUGGUUCAAUUCGAAGCAACGCGAAGAACCUUACCUGGCCUUGACAGUGGCGGAUUAGCUUCCUGAAAGGGAAGUUACUCCUCUUCGGAGGCGGAACGCCAAACAGGUGUUGCAUGGCUGUCGU
rnacentral:rRNA from 1 species